rnacentral:tRNA from 1 species
GGGGAAUUAGCUCAGCUGGGAGAGCGCUUGGCUGGCAGCCAAGAGGUCAGGGGUUCAAAUCCCCUAUUCUCCACCA